rnacentral:rRNA from 1 species
GACGAACGCUGGCGGCGUGCCUAAUACAUGCAAGUUGAGCGAUGAAGCUUGGUGCUUGCACCCAUUUGAAGAGCAGCGAACGGGUGAGUAACGCGUGGGGAAUCUGCCUUUGAGCGGGGGACAACAUUUGGAAACGAAUGCUAAUACCGCAUAACAACUUUAAACAUAAGUUUUAAGUUUGAAAGAUGCAAUUGCAUCACUCAAAGAUGAUCCCGCGUUGUAUUAGCUAGUUGGUGAGGUAAAGGCUCACCAAGGCGAUGAUACAUAGCCGACCUGAGAGGGUGAUCGGCCACAUUGGGACUGAGACACGGCCCAAACUCCUAAGGGAGGCAGCAGGAGGGAAUCUUCGGCAAUGGACGAAAGUCUGACCGAGCAACGCCGCGGGAGUGAAGAAGGGUUUCGGAUCGGAAAACUCUGUUGGUAGAGAAGAACGUGGGUGAGAGUGGAAAGCUCAUCAAGUGACGGUAACUACCCAGAAAGGGACGGCUAACUACGUG